rnacentral:rRNA from 3 species
UACGGAGGGCGCAAGCGUUGUUCGGAAUCAUUGGGCGUAAAGCGCGUGUAGGCGGCUUGGCAAGUCGGGUGUGAAAUCCCGGGGCUCAACCCCGGAACUGCAUUCGAUACUGCCUCGCUAGAGUCCCGGAGAGGAGGGCGGAAUUCCCGGUGUAGAGGUGAAAUUCGUAGAUAUCGGGAGGAACACCAGUGGCGAAGGCGGCCCUCUGGACGGUGACUGACGCUGAGAUGCGAAAGCGUGGGGAGCAAACAGG